CCUACGGGAGGCAGCAGUGAGGAAUAUUGGUCAAUGGCCGGAAGGCUGAACCAGCCAAGCCGCGUGAAGGACGAAGGUGCCACGCAUUGUAAACUUCUUUUGUCAAGGGACAAAAUCAGGCUCGAGAGCCUGACCGAGGGUACUUGAAGAAAAAGCAUCGGCUAACUCCGUGCCCGCAGCCGCGGUAAUACGGAGGAUGCGAGCGUUAUCCGGAUUUAUUGGGUUUAAAGGGUGCGUAGGGGGACUGUUAAGUCAGCGGUAAAAGCCCGGGGCUCAACCCCGGCGAGCCGUGGAAACUGGCUGUCUUGAGAUGUCGAGAGGUAUGCGGAAUGCGCAGUGUAGCGGUGAAAUGCUUAGAUAUUGCGCAGAACUCCGAUUGCGAAGGCAGCAUACCGGCGGCGAUCUGACGCUGAGGCACGAAAGCGUGGGUAUCGAACAGGAUUAGAUACCCUAGUAGUC
rnacentral:rRNA from 1 species